AUGAUUAACAGACAAUUAUUUUAUAAUAGAACAACAUGAGGAAUGACGGCGCUGUCUGUGUUCUCUUCCUGCUUGUAGCUACAUCAAUAGAUGCUGCCAUUACACAAUUUAAAUGGAGCGACUGUGCAAGCAGUGACCCUAACAGGGCCCUCCAGAUACAGGAGAUUACAGCCACACCAAUGCCUUUGGUUACCCCUGGACCAUUAGUACUACAUAUUAAAGGAAAGAUUGCCAAAGACAUAACUAAAUGGUCUUUGAAAUUAGAUAUACGAAGACAUACGUUUGCUGGAACUGUCCUAAUACCAUGUACCCACGAUUUCGGAUCUUGUACGUUUGAUGGUUGUAAGGUGCUGAAUGAUAUGAAGAAUCAACAAAACCAAGGAAUAUCCACAUUAGCUAAUCAAGUUCAGACAAUGCUAACACAGAAUAAUAUAGACAUUACCUGUCCAGUUAAAUCACAACCCGUAUCUGUGGACACCUUUACUAUAACUGUACCAGAACUAGGAGCAGUUGCUGAUGUUUUAGCUGACGGUGAUUAUACGGUAGAUGUACGAGCUUUAAAUCCAGACAGUGGAGAAUUAUUUGGUUGUAUUACAUUUGAUGCUGCUAUUAAAAGGAAAUGUACUGGCUGGUUGUGUCACAGGAAACGAUGAACAAUGGAUGAUACUUAAAUAAACUUCAUAUAAACACA